CAAAGUGCUGGUAUUACAGGUGUGAGCCACCACGCCCAGCCUUGUUUCUUAGGUCUUAUCUCUCUGGGUGUCCUCUCUGUCCCUCUUUCUCUGGGUCCCCAUCUCUGUGUUUCUGUCUCUCCGUGUCUCUGUCUCUCCUUGGGUUUCAUGUCUGUGUCUCUCUUUGGGUCUCUAUAUUUUUUGUUUGUUUCUCCAGGCCUCUGUCUCGGGAUCUCUGUCUCUUCCCAUCUCUGGACUCCCCUCUCUCUGGUUCACAUCCGUUUGUCUGUGUGUGCCUGGACCCACAUCUCUCGCCAGGUCUCUGUCUCAGCUCUGCUGUCUCUCUCACUCUCUGUAUCUCUUCUCUUUCUGUGUAUGUGUGUGUCUCUGUGUAUCUGUCAUUCAGGCCUCAUCUCUCUGCAGUCCUGAAUCUCCGAGAUGGAGAGGGGGCUGUCACAGCUUCCCAUUCCUGGUCUCUGUCCCCACGGGGUGCCCCCUCUCCCCAUCUCUCUCUGCCUCAUUUCUCUGGCACCAUCUGCCAGCACCCCAGGCCCCCGCCUGCUCCCCGCAGGGUCUGCUUAGCCAGGCAGCCCCAUGUGGGGAGACACAGGCCUUGCAGCUUCCACCCCACCCUUGCAUCCUGGACAGGGGCACUGCCUGGUCAUUGCUGGAGGGCCGGGGGAGGCAGGAGUGCAGGAGACCAGAGCCAGGAGACCAGGGACCAGGGGCAAUGGAUAGAAACAGACGCAAUCCCAGAGAGGAGAUGGAAAAAGGGGAAGAGAAAGGAGAAACUUUAAAGACUGGCAAAAUGAGGCUAAUCCAGAGGGAGAGAGAGAGAGUGAAAGAACCCAGCAGAGAGGCAGAAUGAAACAUGGAAAAAGAGAAGAGAAAAGCCUUCCCAACAGACAGGAGAGGAAGACAGAGGCAAACUGAGUGUGGGCUCAGAGAAAAGGAGUAAAGAGGCAGGGCACAGUGGUGCACACCUGUAAUCCCAGCACUUUGGGAGGCUGAGGCAGAUGAAUCACUUGAGCCCAGAAGUUCAAGACCAGCCUGGACAACAUAGCGAGACACCACCUCUACAAAAAGUACAAAAAUUGGCUGGGCACCAUGGUUCACACCUGUAAUCC
rnacentral:lncRNA from 10 species